UUACUCAUUCCUCCAGUUCGUGGCAGCAGCCGCUCCAGACAGCCUGCCCCCGCUGCAGCAGGGAGGUGCCACCAGGACUACACACUGCAUGGAGCUGGCAGGAGCCCUGCCCCUUCCGAGUUGCAAGCCUGCAACUUUUGCAGCCACCCAAGUUGUAACUGCAGAUCUGAGUCUUCCUGUGGUCUUCCAGGGCAAGCAGGUCCACAAACACCCCAGGCUCAACCAGAGCAAGGCAGAGGAUGGAGAAGCAACCGGAGACUAGAUGACCAGCUGCAGAGGAGCUACCCUCUCUGCUGAGAGCUGGGAAGUCAACAGGGACCUGCCUGCAGAGUGGAGCCACCCACUCCAGGGCCUCCGGGGCCUCCUCUCUACAGAGAGCUGAACGCUGGAGGAGAUGACCUGCCUACAGAGAGGAACUGCCCAUUGUGGGUCUCCUCCCAGCUGUCCUAAGAUUCAAUAAAGCUUUUCUUUGUCUUGCUCACU